GUCGAUAUAGUUUAAUUGGUUAAAAUAAUAUCCUUGUAAGAUUUAGCUAGUGGUUCGAGUCCAUUUUUCGGCA
rnacentral:tRNA from 1 species